rnacentral:rRNA from 1 species
AUUGAACGCUGGCGGCAGGCCUAACACAUGCAAGUCGAACGGUAACAGGAAACAGCUUGCUGUUUCGCUGACGAGUGGCGGACGGGUGAGUAAUGUCUGGGAAACUGCCUGAUGGAGGGGGAUAACUACUGGAAACGGUAGCUAAUACCGCAUAACGUCGCAAGACCAAAGAGGGGGACCUUCGGGCCUCUUGCCAUCGGAUGUGCCCAGAUGGGAUUAGCAGGUAGGUGGGGUAACGGCUCACCUAGGCGACGAGCCCUAGCUGGUCUGGGAGGAUAACCAGCCACACUGGAACUGAGACACGGUCCAGACUCCUACGGGAGGCAGCAGUGGGGAAUAUUGCACAAUGGGCGCAAGCCUGAUGCAGCCAUGUCGCGUGUAUGAAGAAGGCCUUCGGGUUGUAAAGUACUUUCAGCGGGGAGGAAGGGAGUAAAGUUAAUACCUUUGCUCAUUGACGUUACCCGCAGAAGAAGCACCGGCUAACUCCGUGCCAGCAGCCGCCGUAAAAC